rnacentral:rRNA from 1 species
GAUGAACGCUGGCGGCGUGCCUAAUACAUGCAAGUCGAGCGAACGGACGAGAAGCUUGCUUUUCUGAUGUUAGCGGCGGACGGGUGAGUAACACGUGGAUAACCUACCUAUAAGACUGGGAUAACUUCGGGAAACCGGAGCUAAUACCGGAUAAUAUUUUGAACCGCAUGGUUCAAAAGUGAAAGACGGUCUUGCUGUCACUUAUAGAUGGAUCCGCGCUGCAUUAGCUAGUUGGUAAGGUAACGGCUUACCAAGGCAACGAUGCAUAGCCGACCUGAGAGGGUGAUCGGCCACACUGGAACUGAGACACGGUCCAGACUCCUACGGGAGGCAGCAGUAGGGAAUCUUCCGCAAUGGGCGAAAGCCUGACGGAGCAACGCCGCGGGAGUGAUGAAGGUCUUCGGAUCGUAAAACUCUGUUAUUAGGGAAGAACAUAUGUGUAAGUAACUGUGCACAUCUUGACGGUACCUAAUCAGAAAGCCACGGCUAACUACGUG